AGCUCCAAUAGCGUAUACUAAUGUUGUUGCAGUUAAAAAGCUCGUAGUCGGAUUUCAGUAGGCGCAGGAAGUUUCUCUUGUAACGAACUGUUCUUACUUCUUUGACAGAAACACUUAUGUUAUUCAUUUAUCGUGAGUUGCGACUGUCUCUUUUACUUUGAGAAAAUUAGAGUGUUCAAAGCAGGUAAUUGCCUGAAUAUUACUCUUGGAAUAAUGCUAUAAGACUUUGGUUCUAAUGUAUUGGUGAUUGGGACCAGAGUAAUGAUUGAUAGGGACGGUUGGGGUCUCACGUACUGCAAAGCGAGAGGUGAAAUUCUUGGACCUUUGUAUGACGAACAACUGCGAAAGCAUUUGACUAGGACGUUCCCG
rnacentral:rRNA from 1 species